AGAUUGAACGCUGGCGGCAGGCCUAACACAUGCAAGUCGAGCGGCAGCACGGGUACUUGUACCUGGUGGCGAGCGGCGGACGGGUGAGUAAUGCCUAGGAAUCUGCCUGAUAGUGGGGGAUAACGUUCGGAAACGGACGCUAAUACCGCAUACGUCCUACGGGAGAAAGUGGGGGAUCUUCGGACCUCACGCUAUCAGAUGAGCCUAGGUCGGAUUAGCUAGUUGGUAGGGUAAAGGCCUACCAAGGCUACGAUCCGUAACUGUCUGAGAGGAUGAUCAGUCACACUGGAACUGAGACACGGUCCAGACUCCUACGGGAGGCAGCAGUGGGGAAUAUGGACAAUGGGCGAAAGCCUGAUCCAGCCAUGCCGCGUGUGUGAAGAAGGUCUUCGGAUUGUAAAGCACUUUAAGUUGGAGAAGGCAGUUAACCUAAUACGUUAGUGUUUUAGACGUUACGACAGAAUAAGCACCGGCUAACUCUAGUGCCAGCAGCCG
rnacentral:rRNA from 1 species